UUACUGAGUACUACACUCUCUACCCUUUGUGAACUAUUAUACCUGUUGCUUCGGCGGCGCCCGCAAGGGUGCCCGCCGGUCUCAUCAGAAUCUCUGUUUUCGAACCCGACGAUACUUCUGAGUGUUCUUAGCGAACUGUCAAAACUUUUAACAACGGAUCUCUUGGCUCCAGCAUCGAUGAAGAACGCAGCGAAACGCGAUAUGUAAUGUGAAUUGCAGAAUUCAGUGAAUCAUCGAAUCUUUGAACGCACAUGGCGCCUUCCAGUAUCCUGGGAGGCAUGCCUGUCCGAGCGUCGUUUCAACCCUCGAGCCCCUGUGGCCCGGCGUUGGGGAUCUGCCACGGCAGGCCCCUAAAACCAGUGGCGGACCCGAAGGGCCCUCUCCUUUGCGCAGUAGCAUUCGCCUCGCAUCGGGAGUCCUCGGCGUCCUGCCUCUAAACCCCCCACAAGCCCGCUUCGGCGGCACCAAGGUUGACCUCGGAUCAGGUAGGAAUACCCGCUGAACUUAAGCAUAUCAAUAAGCGGAGGAAAAGAAACCAACAGGGAUUGCCUCAGUAACGGCGAGUGAAGCGGCAACAGCUCAAAUUUGAAAUCUGGCUCCUUCGGGGUCCGAGUUGUAAUUUGCAGAGGAUGCGUCGGGUACGGGUCCCUA
rnacentral:rRNA from 1 species